AUUGAACGCUGGCGGCAGGCCUAACACAUGCAAGUCGAACGGUAACAGGAAGCAGCUUGCUGCUUUGCUGACGAGUGGCGGACGGGUGAGUAAUGUCUGGGAAACUACCCGAUGGAGGGGGAUAACUACUGGAAACGGUAGCUAAUACCGCAUAACGUCGCAAGACCAAAGAGGGGGACCUUAGGGCCUCUUGCCAUCGGAUGUGCCCAGAUGGGAUUAGCUAGUAGGUGGGGUAACGGCUCACCUAGGCGACGAUCCCUAGCUGGUCUGAGAGGAUGACCAGCCACACUGGAACUGAGACACGGUCCAGACUCCUACGGGAGGCAGCAGUGGGGAAUAUUGCACAAUGGGCGCAAGCCUGAUGCAGCCAUGCCGCGUGUAUGAAGAAGGCCUUCGGGUUGUAAAGUACUUUCAGCGGGGAGGAAGGGAGUAAAGUUAAUACCUUUGCUCAUUGACGUUACCCGCAGAAGAAGCACCGGCUAACUCCGUG
rnacentral:rRNA from 1 species